rnacentral:rRNA from 1 species
GGGACGAACGCUGGCGGCGUGCUUAACACAUGCAAGUCGAACGGUAAGGCCCCUUCGGGGGUACACGAGUGGCGAACGGGUGAGUAACACGUGAGCAACCUGCCCUUGACUUCGGAAUACCAGCUGGAAACAGCUGCUAAUACCGGAUAUGACCUCGGCCCUCAUGGGUUGGGGUGGAAAGCUCCGGCGGUCAGGGAUGGGCUCGCGGCCUAUCAGCUUGUUGGUGAGGUAAUGGCUCACCAAGGCUUCGACGGGUA